AGCGGCGAACGGGUGAGUAAUGUAUCGGAACGUACCCUGUCGUGGGGGAUAACACAGCGAAAGCUGUGCUAAUACCGCAUACGACCCGAGGGUGAAAGCGGGGGAUCGCAAGACCUCGCGCGAUAGGAGCGGCCGAUAUCGGAUUAGCUAGUUGGUGAGGUAAAGGCUCACCAAGGCGACGAUCCGUAGCGGGUCUGAGAGGACGACCCGCCACACUGGAACUGAGACACGGUCCAGACUCCUACGGGAGGCAGCAGUGGGGAAUUUUGGACAAUGGGGGCAACCCUGAUCCAGCCAUUCCGCGUGAGUGAAGAAGGCCUUCGGGUUGUAAAGCUCUUUCAGCAGGAACGAAACGGUGGCCCCGAAUACGGGCCACUAAUGACGGUACCUGAAGAAGAAGCACCGGCUAACUACGUGCCAGCAGCCGCGGUAAUACGUAGGGUGCGAGCGUUAAUCGGAAUUACUGGGCGUAAAGCGUGCGCAGGCGGUUCUAUAAGACAGAUGUGAAAUCCCCGGGCUUAACCUGGGAACUGCGUUUGUGACUGUAGGACUCGAGUGUGGCAGAGGGGGGUGGAAUUCCACGUGUAGCAGUGAAAUGCGUAGAGAU
rnacentral:rRNA from 1 species